ACACGGCUGCCAUGGGAUCCAAGCUUCCUGCAGGGUUGGGAGUGGCAUCAAUCUUUGUGGUUCCUUCCCGGGAAGGAGAGCCGCUAUGUGUUACAGCAAUUUUCUGCAAUAUCCUUGAAUCUGUCACAGUGGUGACUGGGUAGCACGCAAGGUGAGAGCUGAUGGGGGCAGAAGGGAAAUCCAUCGUCUGCACUGGGUGGUCACUGACAAGAAGUCGUCGGUUGCCAAGCACACUGCUCCCUGGUCACAUGAUCACAGCCAGCUUUUUGGUAAAACUGGUGCGAGGUGAGCAAAACGUUCGACUUCAGUAAGAGUUCCAAGAAUGACCAUGCGUACCCAGAAAUACUGAAGAAGCUGGCAAUGUUGGGGAUUCACUGGACUGGAGACCUGGUCAACCGGGAUGGCAACUUUCUCAGCCCCAGAUCCAGUCUAGGACUGGAGAAGAGCCAGCAGAUGCCUGAUCAGGCUAGCAAAAUGAUUCUGGUGCUCACACCAAUCUGCAAGGAGGCUUUAAUGCCAGAGCAGCUGCAGUGCAUCCUGGAUCCGUACCUAGAGAAGCUAUUUGAUGAGCCCCUGGAGGAGCAACCCGCCAUGGUGCUGACAGCAGACAUAGCCCUGGACCCUGGUCAGUUUCUGGAUUCAUUUUGUGGUUGUUAAUAUAGGGGGAUGGGAAGUAUUUCUGUUUUACGACCCAAAUAAAAAUGUAUUGCAAGCUGUGGUUAGCAGCGUGUAUACACUGAGGGCAGAUUGCAUGCUUGCUCCUUGGCAUUACAUGGCCACCACAUGGAACGCAGAAGAGACUGGG